CAGUAGCUCAGUUGGAUAGAGCAACGGCCUUCUAAGCCGUGGGUCGCGGGUUCGAAUCUUGCCUGAC
rnacentral:tRNA from 1 species